rnacentral:rRNA from 1 species
GCUCUCUUUGCUGACGAGUAGGGGGACGGGUGAGUAAUGUCUGGGAAACUGCCCGAUGGAGGGGGAUAACUACUGGAAACGGUAGCUAAUACCGCAUAACGUCUUCGGACCAAAGAGGGGGACCUUCUGGCCUCUUGCCAUCGGAUGUGCCCAGAUGGGAUUAGCUAGUAGGUGGGGUAACGGCUCACCUAGGCGACGAUCCCUAGCUGGUCUGAGAGGAUGACCAGCCACACUGGAACUGAGACACGGUCCAGACUCCUACGGGAGGCAGCAAUGGGGAAUAUUGCACAAUGGGCGCAAGCCUGAUGCAACCAUGCCGCGUGUAUGAAGAAAGCCUUCGGGUUGUAAAUUACUUUCAGCGGGGAGGAAGG